UGCCAGCAGCCGCGGUAAUACAGAGGGUGCGAACGUUGCUCGGAUUUACUGGGCGUAAAGCGCGUGUAGGCGGACUCGCAAGUCGGUUGUGAAAUCCCUGGGCUCAACCUAGGAACUGCAUCCGAAACUGCUUGUCUUGAGUAAUGGAGAGGGUGGCGGAAUUCCCGGUGUAGAGGUGAAAUUCGUAGAUAUCGGGAGGAAUACCGGUGGCGAAGGCGGCCACCUGGCCAGAUACUGACGCUGAGGUGCGAAAGCGUGGGGAGCAAACAGGAUUAGAUA
rnacentral:rRNA from 1 species